UUUUUUGCUUUUAAUUGCAGUUUUUAUUUUUAUUUUCUUUUCCAGUUAAGCUUCUAGCAAUUAAUUAAUUUUUCGCACAAUAGUUUCUACACCGGAAACUAUUGUGUACCUUUCACCGGAUCUAACCUUACGUUAGAAUCUAGGUUUUUUUUUAUUCCUUCGCUUUUAUUUUUCUGUCUGAUUGAAGAAUUCAAGAACAAAUCCAAC
rnacentral:lncRNA from 1 species